rnacentral:rRNA from 1 species
UACGGGGGGGGCAAGCGUUGUUCGGAAUUACUGGGCGUAAAGGGUUCGUAGGUGGCCAACUAAGUCACACGUGAAAUCCCUCAGCUUAACUGGGGAACUGCGUGUGAGACUGGCAGGCUCGAGGGCAGGAGAGGAACGCGGAAUUCCAGGUGUAGCGGUGAAAUGCGUAGAUAUCUGGAGGAACACCGGUGGCGAAGGCGGCGUUCUGGACUGUCUCUGACACUGAAGAACGAAAGCCAGGGGAGCAAACGGG